AUUGAACGCUGGCGGCAUGCCUUACACAUGCAAGUCGAACGGUAACAGGUCUUCGGAUGCUGACGAGUGGCGAACGGGUGAGUAAUACAUCGGAACGUGCCCAGACGUGGGGGAUAACGAGGCGAAAGCUUUGCUAAUACCGCAUACGAUCUCAGGAUGAAAGCAGGGGACCGCAAGGCCUUGCGCGUUUGGAGCGGCCGAUGGCAGAUUAGGUCGUUGGUGGGAUAAAAGCUUACCAAGCCGACGAUCUGUAGCUGGUCUGAGAGGACGACCAGCCACACUGGGACUGAGACACGGCCCAGACUCCUACGGGAGGCAGCAGUGGGGAAUUUUGGACAAUGGGCGAAAGCCUGAUCCAGCAAUGCCGCGUGCAGGACGAAGGCCUUCGGGUUGUAAACUGCUUUUGUACGGAACGAAAAGGCUCUGGCUAAUACCUGGGGCACAUGACGGUACCGUAAGAAUAAGCACCGGCUAACUACGUGCCAGCCGCCGCCGUAA
rnacentral:rRNA from 1 species